ACGCACGCUGGCGGCGUGCUUAACACAUGCCAGUCGAACGCAAAGGCCCUGCUUUUGUGGGGUGCUCGAGUGGCGAACGGGUGAGUAACACGUGAGUAACCUGCCCUUGACUUUGGGAUAACUUCAGGAAACUGGGGCUAAUACCGGAUAGGAGCUCCUGCUGCAUGGUGGGGGUUGGAAAGUUUCGGCGGUUGGGGAUGGACUCGCGGCUUAUCAGCUUGUUGGUGGGGUAGUGGCUUACCAAGGCUUUGACGGGUAGCCGGCCUGAGAGGGUGACCGGCCACAUUGGGACUGAGAUACGGCCCAGACUCCUACGGGAGGCAGCAGUGGGGAAUAUUGCACAAUGGGCGGAAGCCUGAUGCAGCAACGCCGCGUGCGGGAUGACGGCCUUCGGGUUGUAAACCGCUUUCGCCUGUGACGAAGCGUGAGUGACGGUAAUGGGUAAAGAAGCACCGGCUAACUACGUG
rnacentral:rRNA from 1 species